rnacentral:rRNA from 1 species
GACGAACGCUGGCGGCGUGCUUAACACAUGCAGGUCGAACGGAAAGGCCCUGCUUUUGUGGGGUGCUCGAGUGGCGAACGGGUGAGUAACACGUGAGUAACCUGCCCUUGACUUUGGGAUAACUUCAGGAAACUGGGGCUAAUACCGGAUAGGAGCUCCUGCUGCAUGGUGGGGGUUGGAUAGUUUCGGCGGGUGGGGUUGGACUCGCGGGCUAUCAGCUUGUUGGUGGGGUAGUGGCUUACCAAGGAUUUGACGGGUAGCCGGCCUGAGUGGGUGACCGGCCACAUUGGGACUGAGAUACGGCCCAGACUCCAACGGGAGGCAGCAGUGGGGAAUAUUGCACAGUGGGCGGGAGCCUGAUGCAGCAACGCCGCGUGCGGGAUGACGGCCUUCGGGUUGUAAACCGCUUUCGCCUGUGACGAAGCGUGAGUGACGGUAAUGGGUAAAGAAGCACCGGCUAACUACGUG